GUGCUCACUUUGGCAGCACAUAGACUAAAAUUGGAACGAUACAGAGAAGAUUAGCAUAGCCCCUGUGCAAGAAUGACACGCAAAUUUGUGAGGUGUUCCAGAUUAUU
rnacentral:snRNA from 1 species